ACAAUUAAAAAAAAUGUUAACAAUACAAAAAUAUUUUAAUGGUGUAGUAAUUUGAAACACAAUUUAGAUCCAUUUAAAGAUUUAAACAAAGAAAUAUACCUAUUGGUAAUUUAAAAUAAUAAACACUUUUUUUUUAAUUUAUGUUUUUAUGCGGGUAACUAACCAGUAUAAUUAACUGGGAAUUUUCAUAAUUUUUAUGUAACCUUAUUAAGUGUGUACACACAAUACAUCUGUAUAGUUAUAUCGAAGAUAAUAAGAAUUUAAUUUAAGCAUCUUUUUUUUUUUUUUUAUUUUCAAUUUCAAAUUCAAUGAUAAGUAAUUUUAUUUAAACGAAGGCCGUCUUCGAGAUUACUGAUUGUUUUUCAAAACAAAUUGUUUAAAACGUUAAGCCAUUUUAAGAGUAUUAUUAGAUACGUGCUUGGCUCUAUUUUAAAUUGUAUAAAGAAAAAACUAAAAGUGAAAAUAUUAUUUGGCGUCAAAGAAAAUGGUCAUGUUUUAAAAAAUAAAAGGUAAUCUAUUAACUUACCGGUUAUUGUAUGAUUUUAUAUAAAUAAUUCAGAUUAAAAAAAUUAUACAUAAACUAAAUAUUAUUACAUACAGAGCAAUGGACAUAAUUAUCUCGGAAAGUAUUAACUUUUUUCGACAUUUGUUUUUUUUAGAGCAUUUAAGAAAUUGUCCUAAGAUAUUAUAUUUCGGUUAUUGUUUGUCACUUUUAUUUUAUUGGUUAAAACCACUACUUACUUUUGAUAGGAUAAUAAACAGAUGGAGCAUUAGUUCAAAUAAAUUUUGGUGUUGACAUUAUUGAUUUCCGUUCAAGUUUAGGUAUCGGGGGAGAAUGGCAGAACACUAUUACAACGCCGCGUGCCAUGUGGCUACACAAAUGAUGCACCACUAUACAUUAGAGUAAUUAGAGUAACUCUCCCCCCGCCGAAUCUUAAAAGCGAAAUAUCUCGUCAACGGAAGUUAAAAAUAGUUUAAAAAUUUUGUUAGAAAUCUGUAUUAUAAUGUAGGCAGUUUAUAAUUAAUGAAUUAAAUGCGAAUUUAGAUGUAACCGACCUUGAAUUAUACGAAUAAUAAUGUUUCUUUGCAAAUUAGUAUUAUUUUUACCUAACGUCUACAAUGUUGUUAAUGCUUGUUUUCGUGUAAAAUAUUUAUAUAUUAUUGUUUCUACGGGCGAUGAUGACGCGAGUUAUUCAAAUUUAAAAUAUUAACAAUAUGUUAUUAUUAUAAUACGCAUUACAACACAUCUAACGAAUCUUAAUAAUUAAUUACUAACGAAUGAAUAGGCUUAAAAAAUAGAAUAAUAUUAAUGCCUCGGGGUACUGAUUAUGUUAUUAUGGGAUCAUUAUUAUGAACGAGUAAAAAAAAAA